rnacentral:lncRNA from 1 species
GACUUACCACCGUUUAUCACACGGUGCGAUGUAAGUACCCGGCCCAGGUCUGGGUAAUGGAAAUUCGACUUAUCAUCGUUUUUUCGACUAAACGCGUCGGACGCCAUUCGACUGAACGCAUCGAACGACAUGUGACUAUCAUACCCUAUGAAAUGAUCCAGCCAUCGGGUUAUGCCCGGAGGUCGGUCGACUUUCGACUCGACGAACACGUCCGACUC